UGCAUGUCUAAGUACAUGCCGAUUCAAGGGGAAACCGCGAAUGGCUCAUUAAAUCAGUUAUGGUUUCUUAGAUCGUACCUCACUACUUGGAUAACUGUGGUAAUUCUAGAGCUAAUACAUGCAGCAGAGCUCCGACCCUCCGGGGGACGAGCGCUUUUAUUAGACCAAACCGGCGGUGCCUCGGCGCCUCUCUCGUGGUGACUCUGUAUAACUUUGGGCUGAUCGCACGGGCCAGACUCGGCGACGCAUCUUUCAAGUGUCUGACUUAUCAACUGUCGAUGGUAGGUUACGCGCCUACCAUGGUCGUAACGGGUAACGGGGAAUCAGGGUUCGAUUCCGGAGAGGGAGCCUGAGAAACGGCUACCACAUCCAAGGAAGGCAGCAGGCGCGCAAAUUACCCACUCCCGGCACGGGGAGGUAGUGACGAAAAAUAACAAUACGAGACUCUUUCGAGACCUCGUAAUUGGAAUGAGCACACUCUAAAUCCUUUAACGAGGACCCAUUGGAGGGCAAGUCAGGUGCCAGCAGCCGCGGUAAUUCCCGCUCCAAUAGCGUAUAUUAAAGUUGUUGCGGUUAAAAAGCUCGUAGUUGGAUCUCAGUUCCAGACGCGCGGUCCGCCUCACGGCGGCACCCGCGCGGCCUGAACAACCGGCCGGUUUCCCCGGAUGAUCUUCACCGGUUGUCCCGGGUGACCGGCACGUUUACUUUGAAAAAAUUAGAGUGCUCAGAGCAGGCGGAACGCUUGGAUAAUGGUGCAUGGAAUAAUGGAAUAGGACCUCGGUUCUAUUUUGUUGGUUUUCGGGACUCGAGGUAAUGAUUAAGAGGAACAGUCGGGGGCAUUCGUAUUGCGACGCUAGAGGUGAAAUUCUUGGACCGUCGCAAGACGAACUACUGCGAAAGCAUUUGCCAAGCAUGUUUUCAUUAAUCAAGAACGAAAGUUAGAGGUUCGAAGGCGAUCAGAUACCGCCCUAGUUCUAACCAUAAACGAUGCCAACCAGCGAUCCGUACGAGUUCCUCAAAUGACUCUGCGGGCAGCUUCUGGGAAACCACAAGUGUUUGGGUUCCGGGGGAAGUAUGGUUGCAAAGCUGAAACUUAAAGGAAUUGACGGAAGGGCACCACCAGGUGUGGAUCGUGCGGCUCAAUUUGACUCAACACGGGUAAUCUUACCCGGCCAGGACACUGGGAGGAUUGACAGAUUAAUAGCUCUUUCUUGAUUCCGUGGGGUGUGGUGCAUGGCCGUUCUUAGUUGGUGGAGCGAUUUGUCUGGUUAAUUCCGAUAACGAGCGAGACUCUAGCCUACUAAAUAGACGCGGCGCGCCUUUCCGCGGCGCGUCUUCUUAGGGGGACAAGCGGCGUUUAGCCGCACGAGACAGAGCAAUAACAGGUCUGUGAUGCCCUCAGAUGCCCGGGGCCGCACGCGCGCUACAAUGGAGGAAUCAGCGUGUCCUUCCCAGUCCGCAAGGACCGGGCAACCCGAUGAAACUCCUCCGUGAUUGGGAUAGGGGCUUGUAAUUGUUCCCCUUGAACGAGGAAUACCCAGUAAGCGCGAGUCAUUAGCUCGCGCUGAUUACGUCCCUGCCCUUUGUACACACCGCCCGUCGCUACUACCGAUUGAAUGAUUUAGUGAGGUCUUCGGACUGACGGCCGGUGCGACCCUUCGCGGUGCGUCCGGCGCGUCGGAAAGAUGACCGAACUUGAUCCUUUAGAGGAAGUAAA
rnacentral:rRNA from 1 species